rnacentral:rRNA from 1 species
AACGAACGCUGGCGGCAUGCCUAACACAUGCAAGUCGAACGAGACCUUCGGGUCUAGUGGCGCACGGGUGCGUAACGCGUGGGAAUCUGCCCUUGGGUUCGGAAUAACAGUUAGAAAUGACUGCUAAUACCGGAUGAUGUCUUCGGACCAAAGAUUUAUCGCCCAGGGAUGAGCCCGCGUAGGAUUAGCUAGUUGGUGAGGUAAAGGCUCACCAAGGCGACGAUCCUUAGCUGGUCUGAGAGGAUGAUCAGCCACACUGGGACUGAGACACGGCCCAGACUCCUACGGGAGGCAGCAGUGGGGAAUAUUGGACAAUGGGCGAAAGCCUGAUCCAGCAAUGCCGCGUGAGUGAUGAAGGCCUUAGGGUUGUAAAGCUCUUUUACCCGGGAUGAUAAUGACAGUACCGGGAGAAUAAGCCCCGGCUAACUCCGCGCCAGCAGCCGCGGUAAUACGGAGGGGGCUAGCGUUGUUCGGAAUUACUGGGCGUAAAGCGCGCGUAGGCGGCUUUGUAAGUUAGAGGUGAAAGCCCGGAGCUCAACUCCGGAACUGCCUUUAAGACUGCAUCGCUAGAAUCGUGGAGAGGUGAGUGGAAUUCCGCGUGUAGCAGUGAAAUGCGUA